rnacentral:rRNA from 1 species
UACGGAGGGUGCAAGCGUUAUCCGGAUUCACUGGGCUUAAAGGGUGCGUAGGUGGGUUGGUAAGUCAGUGGUGAAAUCUCCGAGCUUAACUUGGAAACUGCCAUUGAUACUAUCAGUCUUGAAUAUUGUGGAGGUCAGCGGAAUAUGUCAUGUAGCGGUGAAAUGCUUAGAUAUGACAUAAAACACCAAUUGCGAAGGCAGCUGGCUACACAUAUAUUGACACUGAGGCACGAAAGCGUGGGGAUCAAACAGG